rnacentral:lncRNA from 1 species
CAAAAAGACCUGUUUUGGAGAACAUGGAAAUCAAAACUCACAAAAUUAGUUUAAGAUAACAUUUCUGAUUAUUAGCUACCCAAGUUAAAACCUCCCUAAGGAAAAAUCUUCCAUCCUAAUUCCCCAAGAAAUCUUACAAAUAAUUUUUCAAGGGAUACCAUAAUAUGAGAGAGAGGGAUAGUAUGUGGAUUGAGGAAGUUCCUACUUUCCAACGUCUGCUCACUAGGUCCAGGAGAAGACCAUCUACAGCACUUGCUCCUAAUAUUCUCAGUGUUUUGAGAGCAGUAGACCCAGAAGGAUCUAUUAGGGAUAUUGUGAUGUUCCUGACUCCACUCCCAUCAUUACAGAGAGCUGACCACCAUCUCCUACUGCGCUAGUCAGGGAGUCCUGCAGGAUCCAGAGGAGAUUGGGGUGAUAACGCAGACUCCACUCUUCCUAUCAUCCCUGCACAGCCAACCUUCAUCUCAGGAAGAGAUCACGUGUGCACUUUCACAGCUGUGCCUGGAGCCACUGCAUGGUUCAUAGGGAAGUGGGGCAUCAUGUGGGGCUUUCGGUCUUCAACCAUUUCUUCAUUAGUAAAUAUUCUUGCCCAAUGCUACAUGGGUCAUGUCACGUAUUUCCAAUUAAUUCAACAGGGCAUAGGUGAACUUCAAAAUGUGAACUGCCCUCUUCAUGUACCUGGCGAUGAAUACAGACAGGUGUUCAUUCAGGAAAGAUCUUUUAGUUCAACUGUGUGUUAAAUCUCCCUCUGUCUUUCUCUUUUGAGAACAUCUGAAAUUGCAUUGGGGGCCAACUGGUACACACAGGACAAUCUUUGACCUAGCAUAAAUGCUCUUUUUUAACAUCUGCAAAGGCCUUUUUCCCAAAUUGACAGCCUCCACAUAAUAAUAUUUGAGAGUGUAUUAAUCAUUACUGCAUCUACU